ACGGGUGAGUAAUACAUCGGAACGUAUCCUGGAGUGGGGGAUAGCCCGGCGAAAGCCGGAUUAAUACCGCAUACGCUCUGAGGAGGAAAGCGGGGGACCUUCGGGCCUCGCGCUCAAGGGGCGGCCGAUGGCGGAUUAGGUAGUUGGUGGGGUAAAGGCCUACCAAGCCGACGAUCCGUAGCUGGUCUGAGAGGACGACCAGCCACACUGGGACUGAGACACGGCCCAGACUCCUACGGGAGGCAGCAGUGGGGAAUUUUGGACAAUGGGGGCAACCCUGAUCCAGCAAUGCCGCGUGUGUGAAGAAGGCCUUCGGGUUGUAAAGCACUUUUGUCCGGAAAGAAAUCAUCGGGGCCAAUACCCCUGGUGGAUGACGGUACCGGAAGAAUAAGCACCGGCUAACUACGUGCCAGCAGCCGCGGUAAUACGUAGGGUGCGAGCGUUAAUCGGAAUUACUGGGCGUAAAGCGUGCGCAGGCGGUGCUGUAAGACCGAUGUGAAAUCCCCGGGCUUAACCUGGGAACUGCAUUGGUGACUGCAGCGCUGGAGUAUGGCAGAGGGGGGUGGAACUCCACGU
rnacentral:rRNA from 1 species